rnacentral:rRNA from 1 species
UACGUAGGGUGCAAGCGUUGUCCGGAAUUAUUGGGCGUAAAGAGCUCGUAGGCGGUUUGUCGCGUCUGCUGUGAAAACCCGAGGCUCAACCUCGGGCCUGCAGUGGGUACGGGCAGACUAGAGUGCGGUAGGGGAGAUUGGAAUCCCUGGUGUAGCGGUGGAAUGCGCAGAUAUCAGGAGGAACACCGAUGGCGAAGGCAGAUCUCUGGGCCGUAACUGACGCUGAGGAGCGAAAGCAUGGGGAGCGAACAGG